UCGAUUCCCUUAGUAGCGGCGAGCGAAACGGGAAGAGCCCAAACCAACAAGCUUGCUUGUUGGGGUUGUAGGACACUCUAUACGGAGUUACAAAGGACGACAUUAGACGAAUCAUCUGGAAAGAUGAAUCAAAGAAGGUAAUAAUCCUGUAGUCGAAAAUGUUGUCUCUCUUGAGUGGAUCCUGAGUACGACGGAGCACGUGAAAUUCCGUCGGAAUCUGGGAGGACCAUCUCCUAAGGCUAAAUACUCUCUAGUGACCGAUAGUGAACCAGUACCGUGAGGGAAAGGUGAAAAGCACCCCGGAAGGGGAGUGAAAUAGAACCUGAAACCGUGUGCUUACAAGUAGUCAGAGCCCGUUAAUGGGUGAUGGCGUGCCUUUUGUAGAAUGAACCGGCGAGUUACGAUUUGAUGCAAGGUUAAGCAGUAAAUGUGGAGCCGUAGCGAAAGCGAGUCUGAAUAGGGCGUUUAGUAUUUGGUCGUAGACCCGAAACCAGGUGAUCUACCCUUGGUCAGGUUGAAGUUCAGGUAACA
rnacentral:rRNA from 1 species